AACAAAGUAUCUAAACAAAAUACAUAAGUGUACUCAAACUGAGUAGAAUCGUCGAUUAAACUUCCUUCUCCUUUUAAAAAUUAAAAACAGUAAAUAGUUAAAUGAAUAUAUUAAAGACUAUUCGUUUUAUUUCCCAGAGCAGCAUGAUUUCUUGGUUUCUUCAGACUUGUUACCGCAGGGGCAUUUGUCGUCGCUGUUACACCCCGUUGGGCAGCUACAUGAUUUUUGGCAUUGUUCAUUAUUUUUGCAGCUACCACAUUGGCAUUGGCACUCAUGACCUUCAUUUUGGAAGUUAAUUAAUUCGCUGAACAUUUUAUGUGAUGAUUGAUUGAUUGAUUGUACAGUUUGUUUUUCUUAAUAUCUAUUUCGAUGACUUCUAUAUGAUAUUGCACUAACAAGAAGAUAUUAUAAUGCAAUUGGUACAAGACAAGGAGUUAUUUGCUUCUCUUUUAUAUGAUUCUGACAAUCCAUAUUGCGUUGGUAGUCUUUUUUGCUGGAACGGUUCAGCGGAAAAGACGCAUCGCUCUUUUUGCUUCUAGAAGAAAUGCCAGCAAAAGAAUCUCUUGACAGUGACUGACAGCAAAAAUGUCUUUUUCUAACUAGUAACAAGGCUAAGAUAUCAGCCUGAAAUAAAGGGUGGUGAAGUAAUAAUUAAAUCAUCCGUAUAAACCUAUACACAUAUAUGAGGAAAAAAUAAUACAAAAGUGUUUU
rnacentral:sRNA from 1 species